GGGCAGGUGACCGAGCGGCUGAAGGUGCAGCACUGGAAAUGCUGUGUACGAUUUUUCGUACCGUGGGUUCGAAUCCCACCCUGUCCG
rnacentral:tRNA from 1 species